UACAGAGGUCUCAAGCGUUGUUCGGAUUUAUUGGGCGUAAAGGGCGCGUAGGCGGCGGGGUAAGUCGGGUGUGAAAUCUCAGGGCUCAACCCUGAAACUGCACUUGAUACUGCUCUGCUUGAGGACUGGAGAGGAGACUGGAAUUCACGGUGUAGCAGUGAAAUGCGUAGAUAUCGUGAGGAAGACCAGUGGCGAAGGCGACUCUUUGGCCUGUAACUGACGCUGAGGCGCGAAAGCGUGGGGAGCAAACAGG
rnacentral:rRNA from 1 species